rnacentral:tRNA from 1 species
GUGGGUAUAGCUCAGUGGUAGAGUGCAUGCUUAGCACGCAUGACGUCCUUGGUUCAAUCCCCAUUACCUCCA